ensembl:lncRNA
UGUCGAUGUGCAGAAUGAGCUUCCUUCUCUGUUCACCUGUCUUCUGUAUUUACAAUAUUAACAGAAGAAGGCCAUUCUUAACGUCUACACAUCGUUGUCUCCUGAGAAGUAGGUCUGUGUGACCAUGACAAUCGCUAAUCAGGACUAGCACCUAUGUGUUCGAACCUUAAAAGAGAAUGGGAUAUGCGAGCAACAUACCAAUUCACGUGUGUGUGUGUGUGUGUAUACGACACCUUGUACCUGUGUAAAGAAGACAGACAUCCUGUGCUUGUCCUAAGAUCUGGACGGAGCCUACCCACCCUACGGCUACACUGACCUGCCCAUGGAUGGCAUCCCAUUGGAGGCAGAAAUGCAUGAGCAGUACAUGCCUGAGAUGACCUACGACCCCCGACAGGCCUACCCAGAGCCCCUUUAACACACAGGGCUAGGCACAAAAUGGAGUUAGAGAAAUGAGCAUGAAGACCACGGAGAGAUGGCUGGAUGCGGAUUUCAUCACAAAGGGAAACUCCAAUUUCAUGGGGAGACAUUGGGCAAUCAGGGACUGUUAUGAAAAAAAAAAGAAAAAAGAAAAAAAAAGGAAAAAAAAGAAUUUAGUGUUUGUCAAAAUGAAGAAUUGCUUUGCUACAGUUAAUGUGGAGGGGGAUUGAGCUUAAAACUUUUAGAUGCUGUGUUGGUUUUAGACAUUAACUUGCAUAAUUACAGUACACUUUUCAGUAUUUUUUUUCUUCAGGUGUAGCCUCUGUUUUGCAUGGUGGUAAUGCGUAGCCACAUUCAACAAUAACUGAUGCCACUGAGCUCAGACAUUGAGAGGUCCUGGUAUUUGGAACAGCAGCAGUCCCUGUGCUGCCUAUUACCAAGCCCCCAUUACAUUACCCAGAAUGCAGCUGGGUCCACAACAAGAACCCUUUCCCCUUAGGGCGUGUCCACAGAACCCUCCUCUGAGGGUGUGGCCACAACGAGAACCCUCUCCACUGAGAGUGGCCAAAACGUGAAGCCUCUCCCUGAGGGCAUGGCCACAAUGAGAAUCAUCUCUCUGAGGGCGUUGCCACAACGAGAAGCCCCCCACUGAGAGUGUGGCCACAACGAGAAGCCUCUCCCUGAGGGCGUGGCCACAACGAGAACCUUCUCCCCUGAGGUGUGUCCAGAGAAUUUUCCACUGAGGGAGUGUCCAACAACAAGCACCCUCUCACCUAAGGGAGUUUCCACCAAACGAUCCUCUGAGGGCGUGACCAGAGAACCCUCCUCUGAGGUCGUGUCCACAACAAGAACCAUUUCCCCAGAGGAUGUGUCCACAACAAGAACCAUUUCCCGAGAGGAUGUGUCCACAACAAGAACCAUUUCCCCAGAGGAUGUGUCCACAACAAGAACCAUUUCCCCAGAGGGCGUGUCCAGAAUGUGAACACUCUCUGUGAGGGCGUGUCCACAACCACUGCCUCACAGCACAGUGGACUCCCAAGCACACUAAACUAUAUGUUCGGCUGGUAUUGUUGGUUUUCCUCUGGUCCUGUAGACCAGUCGUGCUCACAAACAGUUGCAGAUACUCUACCGCAAUCUACUUACAGCAUAUACAUAAACGUCAAGGACUCCAAUACAUUUUGCUUCGACAUUAAACGCGUGUACGAUGUAAAACGUCAUGCCUGGCUUGCCCCUUUCCUACAGCUACUACAACUGACGUUUCCACAAGUAAAGUGUGUGCAUUGUUAUGAAAGAUAUUUUUUUUAAAUGUGUCUUUUUGGGCAGGGUGGGGGGGCUGUCUUUCUGAGAUAAGAGGCAGAGGAUGUAUGCCAAAGAGAUUUAUUUUAUGACAAGGAUAAUCAUGUAACUUUUCCGUUGUUUUCUAUUUUGAUUGUGGGAAUUGUGCAGGGGGGGCACAGUAAUCGUGAUCCUGUAGUUUGUAGUGUGUGCUAUACAAUCCCACUGCACAUUCCUACCAAACAAGAGAGAAAAAAAAUCGAUGGAUGAUGGAAUGAUAUAGUGGUUAAGAGAUGAGUGCACCACAUGAAUGGAGGGAAAUUAACACUAUGAAUAUGCAUUUUUACAGAAC